rnacentral:rRNA from 1 species
GAUGAACGCUGGCGGCGUGCCUAAUACAUGCAAGUCGAGCGAACAGACGAGGAGCUUGCUCCUCUGACGUUAGCGGCGGACGGGUGAGUAACACGUGGAUAACCUACCUAUAAGACUGGGAUAACUUCGGGAAACCGGAGCUAAUACCGGAUAAUAUAUUGAACCGCAUGGUUCAAUAGUGAAAGACGGUUUUGCUGUCACUUAUAGAUGGAUCUGCGCCGCAUUAGCUAGUUGGUAAGGUAACGGCUUACCAAGGCAACGAUGCGUAGCCGACCUGAGAGGGUGGUAGGCCACACUAGAACUGAGACACGGUCCAGACUCCUACGGUAGGCAGCAGUAGGGUAUCUUCCGCAAUGGGCGAGAGCCUGACGGAGCAACGCCGCGUGAGUGAUGAAGGUCUUCGGAUCGUAAAACUCUGUUAUUAGGGAAGAACAAAUGUGUAAGUAACUAUGCACGUCUUGACGGUAACUAAUCAGAAAGCCACGGCUAACUACGUG